GAGCACCUACGGGAGGCAGCAGUGAGGAAUAUUGGUCAAUGGGCGCGAGCCUGAACCAGCCAAGUCGCGUGAGGGAAGACGGUCCUAUGGAUUGUAAACCUCUUUUGUCGGGGAGCAAAAGACGCCACGCGUGGCGUUCCGAGAGUACCCGAAGAAAAAGCAUCGGCUAACUCCGUGCCAGCAGCCGCAGUAAUACGGAGGAUGCGAGCGUUAUCCUGAUUUAUUGGGGUUAAAGGGUGCGCAGGCGGAAGAUUAAGUCAGCGGUAAAGUUGAGAGGCGCAACCUCUUCGAGCCG
rnacentral:rRNA from 1 species